CUCUUCUAUAUUCCUCCCUUUCUCACUCUGAGUUGACCUCCUGCAAAUUUUAUCGCUUACUGUAUGUCGAACCACUGUUUUUCCCCUGAUGGUUGGUGCAACUGGUACAAAUUUUCCUUUGCUGUAUAGGCCAUCAUCAAAGAGGAAUUCUUAUAUAAGUUGGGAACAUAGCCUGGUUAUUUUGAAAGGGAAAUAUUUUUUUUUUGCCUAUAUGGCUCAUGAUGAAAUUGAUUUAGGAAUUCUUAUAUAAGUUGGGAACAUAUGCCAUUUUCAAAGGGAAAUACUUUUUUUUGCUUAAUGGCUCAUGAUGAAAUUAAUUUCUCAUACAAUUUGGGAAUAUGAGCUGAUGAUCUUCAGCGCUCUUAUUAGUCUUAUCUUGAAAGGGAAAUAUUUUUUUUCCCAGGUGGCUUAUGAUGAAGUUGAUUUCUCAUUUAAGUUGGGAAUAUAGGCUGAUGAUCUUCAGCGGUCCACGACAUGUUCAUAUAUAUCCUGAUGCCGCUUGUCUACCCUUUGUAUUGAGGACUAGAUUUUUGUCAAGUUUUUUCUGGCUGUGGAUGUUAUACUGAGAAGGAAAUAUGCUUCUUUUUGUUUGUACACUUCCGUCAUGAAGGAAUGCAGGUAACUAUUUUUUCAUGUCUGAGUUUGGUUGCAAUAAAGGGAUAGAGUUUACAUGCUCCUCACAAUAUUGGAGUCCUUUUAUGCUCUCGAGUUUAAUUGUAGCUUAACUGCUGCUAAUUCAGGGUACUUUCUACGCGUAGAUGAUCCAAUCAAAUUAUGCCAUUUAAUUUAUUUCAAUGCCUCCCACCGACUUACCUUUUGUUUUCUACAUGAUUUAUUGUCCUAUGUCUUAACGAUGGUGGAACAGAAGGGCAUUGCCUCACGUUUCUUUUUACUUUCCACAUACUUAUAUGAUUUAUGAAUGAUUUUGAUGCCACCUUCUAGGUUCCUAAUUGUAGCCCACCUCUAAUUUGUGCCACUUACAAUACACUGUUGUGGCUUAAAGAAUGAAAGAAGCUGCCUACCCUUCAUCGGUUAGUGUCAAAUGUGGUUCGAUUGUGUGUUCUUAACUCACAUAGGUAUAAAUAGGCCAUGCUUUAUUGGUAUUAAAGGUUAUUACUUUGUGAUGUAAAAGAGGUAUGGUUCCUAACUAUUUUCCUUUACACUUUUUUACUCUUAUGAGGUUUUUGGGUUAAGGAGACAUCCUCCCAUGUGCUCAUGCUUGAUUCAGCUGCAACCUAAGUGUCGCUAAGAAGAAUGUAAAGGUAAAAACAAGCAGCUCCAGUUACAAAAUCAUCUAUGCGUAUAGGAACUUAGCGGGAAGCUAAAGUUCUAUGCCUGCUGGGCAGUGCAAUACGAUGUACCUGCAAGCGGCAGGCACCCUCUGUUGUGCUACGUUACUUCCUCUUCUCAAGUGUCCCCGUAGCCUUUUAUUCAUCUUGCAUCUAAACAAAAAUAUUGACUCUAGCUAUAUUGUGUUACAGUUGGAUUUCUUAAUAAUUCUUGGUACGUUGCUGCUACCUUUUUGUUUCCUAUUUUCCUCAGUUCAUCCGUACAAUACUGUCUUUUGGCUUCCAUGGUUUGCAGUAGGAUAAUACAGUCCAUAAACUAAAUGGUUCGAUUAUUUGGUACAUGUACUGUCCAAUGCCAAAUCCUUUUGCCCUUAACCAUGAGUGACAUGGAUUGGUUUUGACUAAAUCCUCAUGCAUCAUAACAUUACCUGAAAUGGCAAUUUCCAUAUUCUGCAAACACGAUGUGGUAAUAAGCUGGGCUCCUUUUGUGUCGGCCUUCAGCUCUCAGGUCUCAGCUAUUACAAAAACAUAUGCAUCCACGGUAGGCAAAUUCAGCACCUCCUGUUUUCUAUCCUUGGCUAUGUGUAUCAGAUGUUCUUCAUAGGGCAUCAAUCUCAGACACUGCUAAAGACCUGCAGAACUUUUAGAGAAGGGUGGCCUAAUGUCUCAGCACAACAAUUAACUGCAGCGUUCCAAUAGUUAACGCCAGCAGGUAUCUUGGACCGACAAAAUGUCUACCUCAUCAUUUUGUGAUAUGCACGGGCACUUGCUUCACAUGAAGAAAAUAAAUGAUAUGUCCUGUGCAUGUCAAACUCUUUGUAUUAUUAGAAUAAGUUUGCCGUGCGCUUUUGUAGCUUCAUUAGUCAGCUAAGACCACCUAAAUCUUUCAAGAAGCUUAUAUGCUUCUAUAUUAGUAGACUGAACAACAUGUUUGUACUGAACUACUGCAAAAUACUAAAAUAACAGUUCUGUAUAUCAUAACUGUAUAUAUUAUGACUCGAUUCACCGUUA